rnacentral:rRNA from 1 species
GAUGAACGCUGGCGGCGUGCCUAAUACAUGCAAGUCGAGCGAACAGACGAGGAGCUUACUCCUCUGACGUUAGCGGCGGACGGGUGAGUAACACGUGGAUAACCUACCUAUAAGACUGGGAUAACUUCGGGAAACCGGAGCUAAUACCGGAUAACAUGUUGAACCGCAUGGUUCAACAGUGAAAGACGGUCUUGCUGUCACUUAUAGAUGGAUCCGCGUCGCAUUAGCUAGUUGGUAAGGUAACGGCUUACCAAGGCAACGAUGCGUAGCCGACCUGAGAGGGUGAUCGGCCACACUGGAACUGAGACACGGUCCAGACUCCUACGGGAGGCAGCAGUAGGGAAUCUUCCGCAAUGGGCGAAAGCCUGACGGAGCAACGCCGCGUGAGUGAAGAAGGUCUUCGGAUCGUAAAACUCUGUUAUUAGGGAAGAACAAAUGUGUAAGUAACUAUGCACGUCUUGACGGUACCUAAUCAGAAAGCCACGGCUAACUACGUGCCAGCAGCCGCGGUAAUACGUAGGUGGCAAGCGUUAUCCGGAAUUAUUGGGCGUAAAGCGCGCGUAGGCGGUUUUUUAAGUCUGAUGUGAAAGCCCACGGCUCAACCGUGGAGGGUCAUUGGAAACUGGAAAACUUGAGUGCAGAAGAGGAAAGUGGAAUUCCAUGUGUAGCGGUGAAAUGCGCAGAGAUAUGGAGGAACACCAGUGGCGAAGGCGACUUUCUGGUCUGUAACUGACGCUGAUGUGCGAAAGCGUGGGGAUCAAACAGGAUUAGAUACCCUGGUAGUCCACGCCGUAAACGAUGAGUGCUAAGUGUUAGGGGGUUUCCGCCCCUUAGUGCUGCAGCUAACGCAUUAGGCACUCCGCCUGGGGAGUACGACCGCAAGGUUGAAACUCAAAGGAAUUGACGGGGACCCGCACAAGCGGUGGAGCAUGUGGUUUAAUUCGAAGCAACGCGAAGAACCUUACCAAAUCUUGACAUCCUCUGACCCCUCUAGAGAUAGAGUUUUCCCCUUCGGGGGACAGAGUGACAGGUGGUGCAUGGUUGUCGUCAGCUCGUGUCGUGAGAUGUUGGGUUAAGUCCCGCAACGAGCGCAACCCUUAAGCUUAGUUGCCAUCAUUAAGUUGGGCACUCUAAGUUGACUGCCGGUGACAAGCCGGAGGAAGGUGGGGAUGACGUCAAAUCAUCAUGCCCCUUAUGAUUUGGGCUACACACGUGCUACAAUGGACAAUACAAAGGGUAGCGAAACCGCGAGGUCAAGCAAAUCCCAUAAAGUUGUUCUCAGUUCGGAUUGUAGUCUGCAACUCGACUACAUGAAGCUGGAAUCGCUAGUAAUCGUAGAUCAGCAUGCUACGGUGAAUACGUUCCCGGGUCUUGUACACACCGCCCGUCACACCACGAGAGUUUGUAACACCCGAAGCCGGUGGAGUAACCUUUUGGAGCUAGCCGUCGAAGGUGGGACAAAUGAUUGGGGUG